GGGCCUGUGGUUCAGUGGUAAAACACCCCAUUCGCAUUGGGGAAACGGGAGUUCGAUUCUCCCCAGGUCCA
rnacentral:tRNA from 1 species